ACUUAAUGAGCCCCCCGGGCACACCGGAUAUCCUACCAAUUCUAAGACUACCAAUGAAGACAGAUAAAUGGCUUCCUGACAAAUGGCCCCAUUUUCCAGGGCCCGGGGCUCUGAAGGAAGGAGACAUGAAGGAGACGUGAGCUUUGGAACAUUUCUUGGGGUGGACUCCUUAAAGGGUUCAUGGCCAUGAGCCCUCUGAGUCUACGCCAGAAGGAGCCACUGCAUUAGUUCUUCUGAAAAAUUAGAUUUUGCUUGCAGCUCAUUAAAAUUUCAAAAGGCUUAUGAAAUGGAUUCCAGACUAACUAUGUACCAUUAUAAUUUGCAACAGAAAAUACCUGUUCAUAGAAACGAUAGGGACUUAAAAUGAAAAAUACUUUAUAUUUGCCUGUGUCUAGCCACAGUGCCCUAGGGAAGGUAAAAAUCUGUCAUUUCUGGGAGGAGAUUUUCCCCUAGGUUGUAUUCUUCCCAGGGAUGACAGCUGUGGAGGGUUGAAUAGUGUCCCUCCAAAAUUCGUGUCCACCCAGAACUUCAGAACGUGACCUUAUUUGGAAAUAGUCUUUGUAGAUAUAAUUCAUUAAGUGGAGGUCAUACUGGAUCAGGGUGUGUUCUAAAUCCGAGGACUGGUGUCUCUGUAAGAGAAAAGAGGGGAGACUCAGAUACGGAAGGAGGCCAUGUGAAGAUGAAGGAAGGGAUCGGAAUGAUGUCGCGGCAAAGCAAGGAACAAGAAAGACUGCUGGAAACCACCAGAAGUUAGCAGAGGCAAGGGAGGAUUCUUCCCUAGAGACUUCGGAUUGUGGCCCUGCUAACACUGUGGUUUCAGACUUCUAGCCUCCAGAACUUAAAACUAUUGUUUUAAGCCAUCUAGUUUGUGGUCAUUUGUCACUGCACUGCCAGGAAACUAAUACAACAGCCAUGGUGCCUUCGCCCCAGCACCAGAAGAGAGAGAGAAACUUCCAGGUGAUGGGGUUCAAUUGUAUCUACACUAGCAAAGUAGAAAAUGGAGUA
rnacentral:lncRNA from 1 species